rnacentral:rRNA from 1 species
GUUGCCAGCACGUAAAGGUGGGAACUCUGAAGAUACUGGCCCCGGUUAACGGGGAGGAAGGUGGGGAUGACGUCAAGUCCUCAUGGCCCUUAUGCCCAGGGCUACACACGUGCUACAAUGGCAUAUACAAAGGGUCGCGAUACCGCGAGGUGGAGCCAAUCCCAUAAAGUAUGCCACAGUUCGGAUUGGAGUCUGCAACUCGACUCCAUGAAGUUGGAAUCGCUAGUAAUCGCAGAUCAGCAUGCUGCGGUGAAUACGUUCCCGGGCCUU